GCCUUCGUAGCGUAGUGGUCAGCGCGCUCGACACGUAUACGAGAGGUCCAUGGUUUGAGUCCCGGCGAGGGCA
rnacentral:tRNA from 1 species